GUGUUGUAUGAAAGGAGAGAAGGUUAGCCCUCCCCUUAACAAACACAGAGUUCCUGGCAUCUCACUAUGUUUUUAU
ensembl:snRNA RNU6ATAC32P RNA, U6atac small nuclear 32, pseudogene